rnacentral:rRNA from 1 species
UACGACUACAUAUCAGGCAUAUCAAUAAGCGGAGGAAAAGAAACUAACUAGGAUUCCCUUCAGUAACGGCGAGUGAAGCGGGAAGAGCUCAAAUUUGAAAUCUCCAAGGUUCUACCUUGACGAAUUGUAGUUUAAAGAAGUGUUUUCUGUUGGAGUUUUGGUAAAAGUUCUUUGGAAUAGGACAUCAUAGAGGGUGAGAAUCCCGUAUUUGACCAUUAUUUCAGCUGUGUGAUACACUUUCAAAGAGUCGGAUUGUUUGGGAAUGCAGUCCAAAAUGGGUGGUAAAUUUCAUCUAAAGCUAAAUAUUGGCGAGGAGACCGAUAGCGAACAAGUACCGUGAGGGAAAGAUGAAAAGAACUUUGAAAAGAGAGUUAAACAGUACGUGAAAUUGUCAAAAGGGAAGCGUUUGACACCAGUGUUGUUUUCUCGAAAAUCAAUUAAAAAAAGUUGGAUUUUGUGUUGUAUUGACCUUAACAGCUUGCUUCACUCUUUUCCAGCUUUUUUUAAUGCACUUUUCGUUUAACAAGUCAACAUCAGUUUCUUUUGUUGUAAAAGGGUCAUUGGAAGGUGGCUUUCUCUUCGGAGAAAGUGUUUAUAGCCUUUGAUCUCUGCAAUCGGAGAGACUGAGGUCUGCAGCGUAGAUCCUUCGGGGUUAGAUACAUUUGUGCUAAGCUACAGCUUUUCAUAGACAACUUGUUGACUAUGUUUAGUCUUGUGACUUACCCGCUUAUGCUAUUUUACCUACGCUUAGGAUGUUGAGCGCAUGUCUCUCUCU